GCUGGUCUUGCUUGAUCACGCAGGAGAACGUCCCGCGGUGCGUGAGCUGAGCCGGCCGGAUCCGCGCCAGGUAUCCUUCGGCCCGCGGCAUAUCUCGGAAAUAGGACAAGUCCUGAGUCCGGAGCUGCGGGACACGCGGGUUUAAACGCCUCAACUCCGGCUUGCCACUGAGUAACCUACAAGCCCCGCCCCCCGAGCCAGACCACGCCCCCUGGAGUCCUGGCCCUGAGCCUUGAGCCCGCCCCCGAGCCUUCUCGCUCCCCUGCCCUAAACGCACCCCUUCCCCUCACUCCUUAAACCCUUACGCAUAACCUACCCCUAGAAACUGCUUUUAUUUAUGUAUUUUUUUUUUCUUCCAGACAGGGUCUCGUUCUGGCGCCCAGGCUGCAGUGCAGUGGCGCGAUCAUAGCUCACUGCAGCCUCAAACUCCUGGACUUAAGCAGUCUUCCCGCUCAGCCUCCCCAGUGGCUGGGACUAUAGGCGUGCACCACCACGCCCCGGCUGUUUUUAAAAUUUUUUGGCAGAGGAGGGGUCUUAAUUUGUUGCCGAGGCCGGUCUCAAACUCCUGGGCUCAAGCCAUCCUCCCGCCUUGGUCUCCAAAAGCGCUGGGAUUACAGGCGUGAGCCAUCGCCCCAGGUCCUUGGUCCUGCAUUCUGAUCUUCGAGCUCUCCCCUAAAUCCCGCGACCCUCCUCUUGCUGAUGCUUGUGUCUAGACGGAGAUUCCCGGAGUCCCGUCCCCGCAAGCUGACUCCCCAACCUCUAGUGAAGGCUAACUCGCCCGUCUAAACUCUUCGCGCCGGCCCCGCCCCGACUCACACCUCCUCCUGCGAACUUCCAGGAAUAGGUGAUCUCCUCCUUUGGCAGCUGGAAGUUUACGAUGCAAGAAAACAUAGCCUGGUCGCCCCGAGUCACUGUCACAUCCUGAACUGAAGACGGAGCAGGGUUCACUCGCUGGGCCCCGACCACGUCUGGCCUCGCCACCAGCUUAUGCCCCUCGGUGCUCUGGUCCCUUUUCUCAGGGAUCUUAUUGGCUUCCUAAGGAUGUGAAGCCCACCCGCUUUCCCACACUUGAUGUCGUACGUUUCGUCCCCGACCGCCUCCCUUACCCCGCAAUUUCCAAGUUUUAGAUGAAGUCCUUACCGCAGGGAGGGAUGCAAGCCUGGGCUGUGGAGGAAGAGGAAACAUCACUACCUUACAGUCAUGGGAAGAACCCUUGCCCGAUGCUCCCCUAGCUAAUGUUACAAGGCCCGAAGCAUUGCUCCGAGGGGGCGGGGCCAAGCUUUCGUCAUAACCUGGGGGCGGGGUCAAGCCGGCUGGGUUCCACCUGGGGCCGGGGCCAAGCCUGAGCAUUCCACUAGGAGGUCAGGCCCAGGACUGCUGCCAGCCUUCUACUUGGGGUUUAGAGGGAAACACACUGGUUUUCUGUAGGCCCUGAUGGGGAUGGGCAAUCCAGGUGUAUUCCACCGAGGAGGCGGGGCUAGAUCCUGGGCGAUCCUUGCAGGAGACCAAGGCUAAGGUGGUGGCCCAGUUAGAGAAGAGGCGUGGCCAGGUUAGUAGUAGUCCCGGAAAGGGGCUCAGUUGGAGACGAAACCUUUCAUCGAAGGGGCGGGGCCAGAUCAAAAAUGGUCCACGCGGGGAAAUAGUCGUCCCUCAAGGUCUGAGGCUCAGAGAUGGGGCCAGGGGAUUGUACGGGGAGUGGAUGGGGGGUCUCAGGAGUGGGUUUCGUUUUGAGAUGGAGUCUUGCUCUGUCACCCAGGCUGGAGUGCCGAUCUCGGGUCACUGCAACCCCGCCUCCAGGGUUCAAGCAAUUUUCCUGCCUCAGCCUCCUGAGUAGAUGAGAUUACAAGCAUGCGUUACCACGCCCAGCUAAUUUUAGUAUCUUUAGUAGAUAUGGGUAUCACCAUGUUGGUCAGACUGCUUUUGAACUCCUGAUCUCAAGUGAUCUGCCCGCCUCAGCCUUCCAAAGUGCUGGGAUUACAGGCGUGAGCCACCAUCCCCGGCCAAAAGUGGGGUUUUCUAAUUGUGUGUGUGUGUGUCUGGGGAAGGAGAGAUGGAGUGUAUUUUACCUUCUUUAAGCUGUGUAAUGACCUUCUUCAUUUUCUCCGCAGCAUCAGGGAAGGCAACCUCAAAGGAUCCUGGAGAGUGGAGGGGAGGACGGCCUGUGUAGUAAAGCCCUUCCCCCAGGGCUUGGUCCUUGGUCCUGCAUUCUGAUCUAGCCUGGCUAGGGCUAGGCUGGCCCUAGCUCACAGGACGUACUGUCAUGACUCCACCCCAAUAUAAGCAACCCGAGGACAGGUGGUUUGCAGUUUUGGUCACAGCGGUUGUUCCUGGCACAUUCAGUAAGUAUAAUUGAACGUAUUGCACCAGCUUCUCCCGGCCUCCAGACUCUCCCUCUGGUCCAUCUUUGACACGACCCCAGAGGGUUCUUUCUACACCCAGAGCUGCCCCUACUUCUUCACUGCUCACACUCCUGCUGCAGCUCCCCAGCGCCCUGAGGAAAGAGACUCAACACUCUCUGACUUUUCUGCUGAACUCUGCACCUAGGUAUCUAGCUGCCUCCUAAACGUCCCUGGGACCCCUCAAAGUCACUGCCUUCUAACCCAGCUUAUCAUCUGCCCCCGGCUCUUUCUCUCAGGCUCCUUAUUUCGGUGAUGACCCACCGCCCAACAGGCACAGAGCAGGACCUGUCUCAGAUGCUGUUCUCUAUGCUUCCCAAAACAGCCCAGCAGACCUAACUCUCUGGCCCUGGCCCUUCUCCACCUUCACGGCCCCAGCCCCCACUCGGGCCUCCGCUCUGGCCUGGACCCUCACCCAGCCUCUUCUCUCUCCCCUCCAAGUUUGUCCCCCAUGCGGCCCCACAGAAGGCUUCCAUUCCCAGAUCCAAAGGUUCCUCAUCUUUUCAAAAGCUUCUGUAACAAGGCAGCCUAUGUGGGGAGAAAGGGCAUUUCUUGGAAUCCUGCACACCCCCACAUGGAGAGGUUUAGGGCCUCAGGUCUCCCUUUAGGGUGGAGAUGGGGAGAGCCACAGCUGAGGCCUUCUCCAGGCUGGCCCUGGAUGCCCCCUGGGUGGAUGGGAACCUUCCCUCUUCCGGGAUUGUUGACAGGACGCUUGGAGGGCAAAGCAGGAAGCAAAAGGAGCGACUGUGGGUGUGGGAAUAAGCCCUGAGCUCCUGGACCUAAGAGGAAGCCAGUUUAUUCUAUAGCGCAGGGCUCUGUAACUCCUGCAACUCCGAGCCUCCACAGUUCCAGGGUCUGGCACCUCGUGGGGAUCAUGGCCAUGGUGAUCAGGCAUGAUUACCGCCCAUGCUGCCCAUCGGCAUUGCGUGGCCCCCAGCCCUGAGGUCUCUUCGCACAGCCACACACCUCAAGGCUGUCACAUGUGCCUGUCUCACCAGGACAGUCACACCUUGUCUCUUUUCACUGCUGUCACCUGAGUGAUCCACUCUGCUGUUCCUGUUUUCCCGCCCUCUAAUUGCCUCACACCUCAAAAAUGUGGAAUCACUUUAUAAGAAAUCUGUGUGUGUGUGUGAGUGUGAGUGUAUGUCUCUGAGCGUGUCUGUGUGCGAGUGUGUGUGUGUUCUAUCCUAGAGGAAGAUGCCUUCCCUAAGAUCAGGCUCAUCAGGCAGCCCCAACCCCUGCACUGAGCUCCAUGGCCAUCCUAGGAGGCAAGAAGAUUGUCCCACUUUACAGAUGGGUAAGUUGAGGCCAGGAGAGGGGCAGUGACACACCCAGAACUUCAUAGCCAGUAAGAGUGUGAGCCAUGCAGCCAUGGCAGAACCUAUGCCUACCCGACCCCAUCUGGACUUCCAGCUCUAGGCAAUUUCUGCAGCGUCCCUUCCCCCUCACCACCUUCAGCCCCUGGCUCUUAGAGCUGCCUUCAGCCUUCGUUUGGACAAGUAGCUGAGCUCAAUGUCUUCCCAGCUUUCCCCUCCCGGAUCACUGCCCAACUCUGGGGGCCUCCUUCCUCUGCCCUGGGCCCUCCCACAUACCCAUUUCUUAGGGGCUCCAAGUCCACAUCUCCCAUCUCCCCAUCCCCACACACUCACCCUGGGCAGCAGCCAGCUCCUGCAGGGCAUGGGUCAUCUGGGUGAAGGUGUCAUGCAGGUGGCUU
rnacentral:lncRNA from 10 species